rnacentral:rRNA from 1 species
AACGUAGGUGGCGAGCGUUAUCCGGAUUUACUGGGCGUAAAGGGUGUGCAGGCGGGGUAUCAAGUGGGGUAUGAAAGGGCGCGGCUCAACCGCGCUAGGUUAUGCCAGACUGAUGCUCUUGAGGACCAAACAGGGCUGUGGAAUUCCUGGUGUAGCGGUGGAAUGCGCAGAUAUCAGGAGGAACACCGGUGGCGAAGGCGGGUCUCUGGGCAGUAACUGACGCUGAGGAGCGAAAGCGUGGGGAGCGAACGGG